UACAGAGGUGGCAAGCGUUGUUCGGAAUUACUAGGCGUAAAGGGCAGGUAGGUGGUUUGGUAAGUCUAUUGUGAAAGCUCCCGGCUCAACUGGGAGAGGCCAAUGGAUACUGCCAAGCUUGAGUAUAGGAGAGGUUACUGGAAUUCCCGGUGUAGCGGUGAAAUGCGCAGAUAUCGGGAGGAACACCAAUGGCGAAAGCAGGUAACUGGACUAUUACUGACACUCAACUGCGAAAGCUAGGGGAGCAAACAGG
rnacentral:rRNA from 1 species